ensembl:miRNA
UGCAGCUGUGGUAAACUCGGGGUAGUGGUUCUAACCACUUAAAGCCCCAGUUCUCCACCUGCUGCAGG